CGGACGGGUGAGUAAUGUCUGGGAAACUGCCUGAUGGAGGGGGGUAACUACUGGAAACGGUAGCUAAUACCGCAUAACGUCGCAAGACCAAGGAGGGGGACCUUCGGGCCUCUUGCCAUCGGAUGUGCCCAGAUGGGAUUAGCUAGUAGGUGGGGUAACGGCUCACCUAGGCGACGAUCCCUAGCUGGUCUGAGAGGAUGACCAGCCACACUGGAACUGAGACACGGUCCAG
rnacentral:rRNA from 1 species